CCUACGGGCGGCAGCAGUGAGGAAUAUUGGUCAAUGGGCGUAAGCCUGAACCAGCCAAGUCGCGUGAGGGAUGAAGGUUCUAUGGAUCGUAAACCUCUUUUAUAAGGGAAUAAAGUGUGGGACGUGUCCUGUUUUGUAUGUACCUUAUGAAUAAGGAUCGGCUAACUCCGUGCCAGCAGCCGCGGUAAUACGGAGGAGCCGAGCGUUAUCCGGAUUUAUUGGGUUUAAAGGGUGCGUAGGCGGCCUUUUAAGUCAGCGGUGAAAGUCUGUGGCUCAACCAUAGAAUUGCCGUUGAAACUGGGAGGCUUGAGUAUGUUUGAGGCAGGCGGAAGGCGUGGUGUAGCGGUGAAAUGCUGAGAUAUCACGCAGAACCCCGAUUGCGAAGGCAGCCUGCCAAGCCAUGACUGACGCUGAUGCACGAAAGCGUGGGGAUCAAACAGGAUUAGAUACCCGUGUAGUA
rnacentral:rRNA from 1 species